AACGAACGCUGGCGGCAUGCCUAACACAUGCAAGUCGAACGAGACCUUCGGGUCUAGUGGCGCACGGGUGCGUAACGCGUGGGAAUCUGCCCUUGGGUUCGGAAUAACAGUUAGAAAUGACUGCUAAUACCGGAUGAUGACUUCGGUCCAAAGAUUUAUCGCCCAGGGAGGAGCCCGCGUAGGAUUAGCUUGUUGGUGAGGUAAAAGCUCACCAAGGCGACGAUCCUUAGCUGGUCUGAGAGGAUGAUCAGCCACACUGGGACUGAGACACGGCCCAAGCUCCUACGGGAGGCAGCAGUGGGGAAUAUUGGACAAUGGGCGAAUGCCUGAUCCAGCAAUGCCGCGUGGGUGAUGAAGGCCUUAGGGUUGUAAAGCUCUUUUACCCGGGAUGAUAAGGACAGGACCGGGAGAAUAAGCCCCGGUUAACUCCGUGCCAGCAGCCGCGGUAACAC
rnacentral:rRNA from 1 species